AACGAACGCUGGCGGCAGGCUUAAUACAUGCAAGUCGAGCGCCCCGCAAGGGGAGCGGCAGACGGGUGAGUAACGCGUGGGAACGUACCCUUUUCUACGGAAUAACGCAUGGAAACGUGUGCUAAUACCGUAUACGCCCUUAGGGGGAAAGAUUUAUCGGAGAAGGAUCGGCCCGCGUUGGAUUAGCUAGUUGGUGGGGUAAAGGCCUACCAAGGCGACGAUCCAUAGCUGGUCUGAGAGGAUGAUCAGCCACAUUGGGACUGAGACACGGCCCAAACUCCUACGGGAGGCAGCAGUGGGGAAUAUUGGACAAUGGGCGCAAGCCUGAUCCAGCCAUGCCGCGUGAGUGAUGAAGGCCUUAGGGUUGUAAAGCUCUUUCACCGGAGAAGAUAAUGACGGUAUCGUAAGAAUAAGGAUCGGCUAACUCCGUGCCAGCAGCCGCAGUAA
rnacentral:rRNA from 1 species